AGCGAACGCUGGCGGCGUGCUUAACACAUGCAAGUCGAGCGGUAAGGCCCUUUCGGGGGUGGCACGAGCGGCGAACGGGUGAGUAACACGUGGGUGACCUGCCCUCAGCUCUGGGAUAAGCCUGGGAAACCGGGUCUAAUACUGGAUAUGACUCCAUGACGCAUGUUGUGGGGUGGAAAGUCUUGUGCGGCUGAGGAUGGGCCCGCGGCCUAUCAGCUUGUUGGUGGGGNGAUGGCCUACCAAGGCGACGACGGGUAGCCGGCCUGAGAGGGCGACCGGCCACACUGGGACUGAGACACGGCCCAGACCUCCGUACGGG
rnacentral:rRNA from 1 species